rnacentral:rRNA from 2 species
UACGGAGGGUGCAAGCGUUAAUCGGAAUUACUGGGCAUAAAGCGCACGCAGGCGGUUUGUUAAGUCAGAUGUGAAAUCCCCGGGCUCAACCUGGGAACUGCAUUUGAAACUGGCAAGCUUGAGUCUUGUAGAGGGGGGUAGAAUUCCAGGUGUAGCGGUGAAAUGCGUAGAGAUCUGGAGGAAUACCGGUGGCGAAGGCGGCCCCCUGGACAAAGACUGACGCUCAGGUGCGAAAGCGUGGGGAGCAAAC